UCCUCCAAGGCAGCGGCAGUAGCUGCGCGUUUGAAACUGGGGUCUCUAGAGAAGAUACUAUGGAGACGCGUUUUCUUCUCAGCAUUUGGAUAUUCAGUCGCCUAGGCUCUGCGCUGGGCGACUCGGUCAAAUCCAAGGAACCCGAAGUAUCUGGAUCAGUUGGAGGCUCUGUGACACUCAGCUGUUCUUACACCACCAGCGAUACCUAUGUCUAUCUCUAUUGGUACCGUCAGUAUCCGGACCAAGCCCUGCAGUACAUCCUCUAUAGAGGAGCGAAAUCCUACAGCAGCCGCAGCCACACUGCAGAUUUCGCCCAGCAGAGGUUUUCUUCCCAGGCUGCUGACAGCUCCACAGUUCUGGACAUCGCAGCCCUAGAGAUGGCGGACAGUGCGGUGUAUCACUGCGCCCUGUGGAGAGCACAGUGACAGAGCCACAUAGCA